UCCUGCUGAUUAGUAGCAGUGACGAGGUCAGUGGGAGCUGAUUGGUGGAAGAGCAAGGCAUUUAUCAUUCACCGCACAAUCCUAGUUAAUGUGCCAGCUCUGGAUUCCACUUAGGUGCGCUUAUAUUUUCCGCUGAAUGCUUAGUGGUGGAGUGUAUGAUCUGAAUGAACAGCAAGAAAUUAUCAAGCUAUGGUGAUGUCUCCAAUAUCCUGAACUGAGUUUUGCAUCUAAUGUCGUCCGUGAGACAACAAAAGACGAAUUUAAUCAAGCGAUUGAAAGGUAAAAUCAUGUUGAUGUUAAUGCAUUACGCUCUCAACAGGGCAAACUUUAAAUUAUGUGCUAUCUCAUGCCAUACAACAAAUGCAAAGUUUUAUGCAAAAAUAAUGUGGAAGCGUAGAAAUGCACACAACAAUAAUUAAAAAAAAAAAGAUUUACGUGUUUCAACAUUAAAUUGAUUUGCUUACGUCUACGGGGAGGGAGAUUUCACUGGCACCGGAUGAUAGAAAAGAAAAAACGGCCUGGAGGUUACAACUUCUGCACUUUUAAUCAUACUGACAGAUUAACCCUAAGUUUCAUUUAUAGAGGAGGACAAGUGCACGCAAGUUAAUAAAACCAAAAGAUAAAAUUUUCUCCUAUUAUAAUAAAAGCCAUAAAUACAACAAUCUCCAUCUCAUCUCUUACUUUCAGAUAAGUGAGAGACGAUCAAAUGAGUUCCAAACCCCAAUUCAUUUGUACCAAGAUGGUUGCCUAUGCAACCCCCCUCCCGAAGGGAUCAAAAUUCUUCAAAAUGUCCGAUCGAGCAAUUGAUGGCCGCAAAAUAGCUGCGAAGCGAGCAGUCACUUCAUGCAAUUAUACGUGUAAUGUAGAAAGUGGAUUGCAAGAGUAUCACAUAUCGUUAUAAUAGAGAAAUGAGUUAAGAAAAGUUCAGAAUCGAUGAAUCUAUACUUUACUAGCUUUUUAACCUAGUUCAGUGUGAUAAAAAAAACAAAAGAGAAAAAUCCUAAAUCUAAGAAAGC